rnacentral:hammerhead_ribozyme from 1 species
AUUCAGUUGAUGAAUCUCAAAUAGGACGAAACGCGCGUCCUGGAU